rnacentral:rRNA from 1 species
CCCUUAGACGUUCUGGGCCGCACGCGCGCUACACUGACACAGGCAACGAGCUUUCCUUUACCGAAAGGUAUGGGUAAUCUUUUGAAACUGUGUCGUGCUGGGGAUAGAUCCUUGCAAUUUUUGAUCUUAAACGAGGAAUUCCUAGUAAGCGCGAGUCAUCAACUCGCGUUGAUUACGUCCCUGCCCUUUGUACACACCGCCCGUCGCUACUACCGAUUGAAUGGCUUAGUGAGGCCUCAGGAUCCGCGCUUAAUGUGUGGAGAAUUUGGACAAACUACGUCAUUUAGAGGAAGUAAAAGUUGUAACA